AUACGGAGGAUCCGAGCGUUAUCCGGAUUUAUUGGGUUUAAAGGGUGCGCAGGCGGCCAUUUAAGUCAGCGGUUAAAUCGUGGGGCUCAACCCCAUUCUGCCGUUGAUACUGGGUGGCUUGAUUGUGGUCGAGGUUGGCGGAAUUCGUUGUGUAGCGGUGAAAUGCAUAGAUAUGACGAAGAACACCGAUUGCGUAGGCAGCUGACCAGACCGCAAAUGACGCUCAUGCACGAAAGUGCGGGGAUCGAACAGGAUUAGAUACCCUGGUAGUCCGCACAGUAAACGAUGAAUACUUGUUUUCGGCGAUAUAAUGUCGGAGGCAAAGCGAAAGCGAUAAGUAUUCCACCUGGGGAGUACGCCGGCAACGGUGAAACUCAAAUGAAUUGACGGGG
rnacentral:rRNA from 1 species